GUAAGUCUUGUAUCGCAAUUUGUCAUGCAAAACGUGUGCAUCUCAUACAAUUUGUCAAGUAAUUAAAGCGUUUGUGUCUAGGGGAGUGCAUCGGUCGGUUCGGUUGGGUUUUACAUAUUAUCGUUCGAUUUAUCGAUUUUUGGUUUUUAAAUAUGCUAAACCAAUAACCAAAUCAAUAAAAUAAUUUUUUUCGAUUUUUAGUCCUUAACGAUUCGAUUUUCGGUUUAACCGAUAAGAAAAUACUCAUAAAAUAGAAAUAGUAGUAACUAACAUGUAAAAAAUGAAUCGUAGUUGCAACAAAAAUCCUACAUGAAGUGUUUAAAUUUACAAAAAUCUUCAAGUUUGAACUAAAUGUUGUUAGGAGAAAUUAAGAGUUUGUAUAAUUGAAAAAAUAGGUUUGUUAAUGUGUAGAAAUAAAAGAUAAAUAUAUAAUAAGUCAUAUAUAUAUUCUUAUUGGGUUAUCGGUUUACCCAAUAACCCAAUAAGAAAAAAUCGAAUCGAACCAAUAACCCAAUAAUUUUUUUUAUAAAAUCAUUAACCUAAUAACAAUAAACCAAUAAUAAUUUUUAUCGGUUCGAUUUAUCCUGUUAUCUACUCUGUUGAAUUUCAUAAUCAUUUACACACAAAUGGCCAGGGGACAAAGUAUACUGUAUGCUGUCAAUGUGGAUAUGACUUUUAGCAUAUAGUAUAUGAUAAAUAGAUCGGCACGCUUGUCUUUGAAACUCAUAUUUUUUCUCUUUCUUAAUUUUGUGGUUGAAUUUUCAAAAACCCUUGGUGGUUUCUUCCUUUCCUUCGAUAAACUUUUGUAUUUAGUAGUAAUAUUAUUUCAUAAAUUGAGACCACAAGACUAUUCAAUUUUGUCUGGGCCCACAUAUGUGCCCAUUUUUUCCUUUUCAGAUUGACCUACGGUGGAAAUUAGGUAGUGUGUAGUGGACACACAAGUCACAACGGACAUUGAUGUGACUUUUAAAUUUUAGCCUAAAUAGGUCUUAUCGAACAACGAUAUAAAAGGAAAACAAGUAAACCUCAGGAGGAGCCUUAGGUUGGAUAUAGUAGGUACGAGGAGGUGAAGAUGUAGGCCAAAAAAUGAGGAGAGAUUAUUGGACGUGACCUUAGAUAGACUAAUGUGGAGGGCAUGUAUUAGAGCGGAAGAUUAGUCAAGUAGGGAGAGUUGUCUUGCUUUGAGGGUUUAGGUGUUUGUGUUCGUCGUGAACCAGCCAUAGUAGGACAUGUAUUAGACCUCACUUGAGGGAUUUCACCGGGCAAAAAAAAAAAGCUACAAGAACAUCUGCUUAUAAAAUAGCUUAAAUCAAAGACUAAAGACAGAAUUGACUUCUAACUCGUUGCUAAAUCAUCAACUACUUUGUUUCUGUUUGUUUAUUUUUCUUUAGGGAGCUGAGGGGAGGGGAAAUCGCGCUACAUUAUGUACACAAUGAAAGGCGCAUAUGAGAAAUUAUUUAGAAGAAAAAGCUACUGAACUUCUCCAUCCUUACCAAAUUGCCAGUGAUCCUCAUAGUCACCAUCCCUAUGAGAAUCACUCUGAGGAUCUCGCUUUUGUUUCUUAUGCUGGCCCUCUGGUUUACCUUCCGAACUCCAGACAUCAUGCUGGUCCAUCUAUUACAUCAAUAAUUAAUGAGAUCUUAUGUACGAACUAUGUGAUGACCUUAAUUCUCAAGAAUGAGAUACGUAGGCGGCCCAUGUCGGCUUCGGUCAACCUAUUAGAUUUUUCUAUAUAUCCUUAGUGUAGUCUUGAACUACGUUUGACUUGAUUCCUACUUCAACGGGAUACAUAGGCGCCCCAACAGCUUGAUCAUAUAACCCCAGAAAAUGGAAACUGGGACAGAAUUUUCGAGAAAGAAUCUCGAAAAUUCACAAGAGAAGAUCAACAUCCAACAAAGAGAGUGAAGAUCAACAAAGACUUCAGAUCCACUCGAGAUGAUAUCAUCUCAGACCACUUUAAACUGGGGCAGAAAUUUUGAGGGGGUCCUCAAAAUUUCCACAAAUAUAUUCAAAUAUAUUUCAAAUUCCCCAGCACUAGAGGUCGAAGUUGAGAUUUGAGGAUCGUCACCUACGAUAAAGUCUAGGAAGAUUGAAUCUCCGUCUUUGAUAAAACUUCUGGUAGAGAGCCUUGACAAUGCCGAAUCCCUAAAAAUCCUCCGUCAAACGUCGAACAUUGUCAGAAUCAAGAGAAAGACGGUCGUUGAGCUAGCAUAUGACAUGACUGACUGGCAGAUAUUUUUCGAAGUUUUGCAGGAGUUCUCGAAACUAUUUUCUAAAAAAUUAAGAGUACUUUGAAAAAAAUCUAUAUAAAUCUUUUACUUAGUGAUUGCCUAGACAUUAAUUAGGAUGGGGAGUCAGGGGUGGAAGUCCCAACAUGAUGAAAUACCUGAAAGAUGGCGAGGAAAAAUCAAGGAUCGUAGGAGGUCAACACGGAGUAGUUUCUUUCAAACUAAUCAUUUUUUGUGGAUGCAGGGAUCGAUACACAAAAUGAGCGUUUCUUUCGAAAAACCCCCAAGCAAGUCGGGAGCCAUGACAGAGCAUAUAAGGCUUAAUAACGGUACUUUUGGUAGCCCAAAAACCGGCUCAAUACCCAUUUAUUGACGACCUUUCGAAUUGUCCAUCUCAUUUCUUGAGAUCAUGGAGGACAAACAAAAGUGUCUUGUCUUCUUUACAAAUAUUGUAUUUAGAUUUUUUCUAAAAAAAACAGUCACUAGCAAAAGUGAAUUUGUGUCUACUAAUCGUCUACCUUGAGUACAGGUACAUGCAAAAAGCAAGACCCUGACAAAUGAUUUCAGGAGAAGCUGUUUUUAAUUUACCGGAAGAACUAUUGCAUGUCAUUGCCAAAAGGGCCAUUGCAUAUCAUCGUCAUUCAAUAUCUAUUGAUGCGCUAGACACAACGCUGGCAUCGAGGAUAUCAUCAGCAUUCAAUAUAUCCGUUGACACGCAAGACACAAUGCUGGUGUCGAGGAUAUCAUCAUCAUUCAAUAUCUGUUGAUGCGCUAGACACAACGCUGGUGUCUAGGAUAUCAUCAGCAUUCAAUAUAUCUGUUGACAUGCAAGACACAAUGCUGGUGUCGAGGAUAUCAUCAUCAUUCAAUAUCUGUUGAUGCGCUAGACACAACGCUGGUGUCUAGGAUAUCAUCAGCAUUCAAUAUAUCUGUUGACACGCAAGACACAAUACUAGCGUCGAGGAUAUCAUCAUUAUUUUAUAUCUUUUGACAUGCAAGACACAAUGCUGGCGUUGAGGAUAUCAUCAUCAUGCAAUAUCUGUUGACGCACUAGACACAACGCUGGUGUUGGGAUAUCAUCAGCAUUCAAUAUAUCUAUUGACACGCAAGACACAAUGCUGGCAUCGAGGAUAUCAUCAUCAUUUAGUAUCUAUUGACGCGCUAGACACAAUGCUAACGUCAAGGAUAUCAUCAGCAUUCAAUAUAUCUGUUGACACGCAAGACACACCGCUGGCGUCGAGGAUAUCAUCAUCAUUUUAUAUCUGUUGACACGCAAGACAUAAACGCUGGCGUCAAGGAUAUCUUAUCAUUUUAUGAAUCAGCAUCUGAAUGCAUCGAGAGCACACGAUUUGAAGGGACACCUUUAAGUCGCUAUCAAGGAUGAAUGAAAUAUAAGAUUUCCUAGAAAUUGACAAUUUGAGGGUCAUCUAUGAGUCAUAUUAUUUAAAAUAGGAUAGUAUGCAAGAUCACCUAUGAGUUGAUAGCCUGUAGGUCAUCCGUAAGCCACAACAACAUCCUAAUCGGAUAGUGUGCAAGAUCACCCAAAAGUCGAUAGUUCAAAGGUUAUCCAUAAGUCGAAACUAAAUCCUUACCGGAGAAUAUGCAAGAUUAUCAAAUUGAUACGUCCAAGGGUUCUCUAUAAGCCAUGUCAUAUCCAAGAUCGAUUAUGUGUAGGAUUACCCAAAGACUAACAAUUUGAGGGAUUAUCUAUAAGUCAUAUUGUAUCCAAGGUCGGAUGAUGUGCAGGAACACGUGAAAGCUAGCGAUUGGAGGGAUAUCUGUAAGUCAUCUCUUCUCUUAUUCAAAGUCGGAUAAUGUGCAGGAUUACCUAAAAUCUAGAAAUCAAAAGGAUAUCUGUAAUUCACCUCGUAUCCAACAUCAAAUAAUGCGUAAGAUUAUCCAAAGAUUGAUAAUUUAAAGGAAAUUUAUAAAUCGAUCAUCGGCUAUAACCGGAGAGGUUAUCAUUCCACAUGCAACAAAUGAUAUAGAUACCCAAAGGGUUUCCACACCAGCACAAGAUUACACGGUUAUAGUUCUGCAUAAAGUAUCGCCGGUGUACAAAAAGGCCACCCACUUUGAAUACAUAUUCAACCGACAAAUGUCAUAAUUAUACAACAACCAAGGGGGUUGUUAAGUUUGGUAUUGCCUGUUAUUUCAUUCCAAACAGGUACAUGAAGAGAUGACUCCGCUUUUCAGGCCACAACUCACGUGGAGAUAUGGUAAAAGACUGCAUACCUCUUUCGUGAAUUAUGUUUAGCACUAACACUUUUUGCUUGAAGCAUUGUCGAGAGCAUCCGAGAAGAUGAAAAUAUC
rnacentral:lncRNA from 1 species